AUUGAACGCUGGCGGCAGGCCUAACACAUGCAAGUCGAACGGUAACAGGAAGAAGCUUGCUUCUUUGCUGACGAGUGGCGGACGGGUGAGUAAUGUCUGGGAAACUGCCUGAUGGAGGGGGAUAACUACUGGAAACGGUAGCUAAUACCGCAUAACGUCGCAAGACCAAAGAGGGGGACCUUCGGGCCUCUUGCCAUCGGAUGUGCCCAGAUGGGAUUAGCUAGUAGGUGGGGUAACGGCUCACCUAGGCGACGAUCCCUAGCUGGUCUGAGAGGAUGACCAGCCACACUGGAACUGAGACACGGUCCAGACUCCUACGGGAGGCAGCAGUGGGGAAUAUUGCACAAUGGGCGCAAGCCUGAUGCAGCCAUGCCGCGUGUAUGAAGAAGGCCUUCGGGUUGUAAAGUACUUUCAGCGGGGAGGAAGGGAGUAAAGUUAAUACCUUUACUCAUUGACGUUACCCGCAGAAGAAGCACCGGCUAACGCCGUGC
rnacentral:rRNA from 1 species